GAUGAAGAACGCAGCGAAAUACGAUAAUUAAUGUGAAUUGCAGAAUUCCGUGAAUCAUCGAGUCUUUGAACGCACAUUGCGCCUCAUAGCAUUCCGUGAGGCAUGCCCAUCUCAGCGUUAGAAAAUAUUCUCAAAUUUUAGUUUUGUGCUAAAAUUUGGAUCAUGUCAAGGAAGCUAUUACUAUUAUUGUGAUCGCUCUUUGGAAAUUGAUAGGUCUUUGAGUUGCUACUCAUAGAACGUGAUGAAUCUUUCUUCGUUCUAUUGUAGUUCACUCUGGUAGUCCUAAAACUUGUAUGCCUGUGGCAUAUCUUGUAAUUUGACCUGAGAUUGGGUAGGGAUACCCACUGAACUUAAGCAUAUCAAUAGCGGAGGA
rnacentral:misc_RNA from 1 species